AGUCGAGCGGUAGCACAGAGAGCUUGCUCUCGGGUGACGAGCGGCGGACGGGUGAGUAAUGUCUGGGAAACUGCCUGAUGGAGGGGGAUAACUACUGGAAACGGUAGCUAAUACCGCAUAAUGUCGCAAGACCAAAGUGGGGGACCUUCGGGCCUCAUGCCAUCAGAUGUGCCCAGAUGGGAUUAGCUAGUAGGUGGGGUAACGGCUCACCUAGGCGACGAUCCCUAGCUGGUCUGAGAGGAUGACCAGCCACACUGGAACUGAGACACGGUCCAGACUCCUACGGGAGGCAGCAGUGGGGAAUAUUGCACAAUGGGCGCAAGCCUGAUGCAGCCAUGCCGCGUGUGUGAAGAAGGCCUUCGGGUUGUAAAGCACUUUCAGCGGGGAGGAAGGCGGUGAGGUUAAUAACCUCAUCGAUUGACGUUACCCGCAGAAGAAGCACCGGCUAACUCCGUGCCAGCAGCCGCGGUAAUACGGAGGGUGCAAGCGUUAAUCGGAAUUACUGGGCGUAAAGCGCACGCAGGCGGUCUGUCAAGUUGGAUGUGAAAUCCCCGGGCUCAACCUGGGAACUGCAUUCGAAACUGGCAGGCUAGAGUCUUGUAGAGGGGGGUAGAAUUCCAGGUGUAGCGGUGAAAUGCGUAGAGAUCUGGAGGAAUACCGGUGGCGAAGGCGGCCCCCUGGACAAAGACUGACGCUCAGGUGCGAAAGCGU
rnacentral:rRNA from 1 species